rnacentral:misc_RNA from 1 species
CGAAAUGCGAUAAGUAAUGUGAAUUGCAGAAUUCAGUGAAUCAUCGAAUCUUUGAACACACAUUGCGCCCGCCAGUAUUCUGGCGGGCAUGCCUGUCCGAGCGUCAUUUCAACCAUCAAGCCCCCGGGCUUGUGUUGGGGACCUGCGGCUGCCCGCAGGCCCUGAAAACCAGUGGCGGGCUCGCUGUCACACCGAGCGUAGUAGCAAUCACCUCGCUCAGGGCGUGCUGCGGGUUCCGGCCGUUAAACAGCCUUACAAAACCCAAGGUUGACCUCGGAUCAGGUAGGAAGACCCGCUGAACUUAA